CCGCAAGGCUAAAACCCAAAGGAAUUGACGGGGGCUUACACAAGCGGUGGAGCAUGUGGUUUAAUUCGAAACAACGCGCAAAACCUUACCAAUCCUUGACAUAUGAAAAACCAGGGUGUUUACCCGCUCUGUCUCUUUUAUACAGGUGCUGCAUGGCUGUCGUCAGUUCGUGGUGUGAGCUGUUGGGUUAAGUCCCAGAACGAACGCAACCCUCCUUUGAAAUGAAGGUUUACCUUUUUCAAAGACUGCCAAGGAUAUCUUGGAGGAAGGUGAGGAUGACGUCAAGUCCGCAUGGCCCUUAUGGGUUGGGCUACACACGUGCUACAAUGGGAAUGACAAAAGGAGGCAACAUGGCAACAUUGAGCAAAUCCCAAAAAGUUUCCUUAGUUCGGAUUGUUCUCUGCAACUCGAGAACAUGAAGUUGGAAUCGCUAGUAAUCGUAGAUCAGCACGCUACGGUGAAUUUGUAUCUAAGCCUUGUACACACCGCCCGUCACACUCUGAAAAUUUUCAUGCCUUGAAGCAAAAGAAGUUCACCAAGAACACACAGCGCAAUUAAAAAAAAACAUCUUCCCUUUUUUUUCUGUGUCUUUGUUGGAACCUUUUCUAGAGUUAGGGAGGUGAUUGGAGUG
rnacentral:rRNA from 1 species